GAUGAACGCUGGCGACGUGCCUAAUACAUGCAAGUCGUACGGAAAGGCCCUUCGGGGUACUCGAGUGGCGGACGGCUGAGUAACGCGUGGGAACGUGCCCCAAAGUGAGGGAUAACGCACCGAAAGGUGUGCUAAUACCGCAUAUGGUCUUCGGAUUAAAGCUUCGGCGCUUUGGGAGCGGCCCGCGUACGAUUAGAUAGUUGGUGAGGUAAUGGCUCACCAAGUCGACGAUCGUUAGCUGGUCUGAGAGGAUGAUCAGCCAGACUGGGACUGAGACACGGCCCAGACUCCUACGGGAGGCAGCAGUAAGGGAUCUUCCACAAUGGGGGCAACCCUGAUGGAGCAACGCCGCGUGCAGGAUGAAGGUUUUCGGAUCGUAAACUGCUUUUAUAAGUGAAGAAUAUGACGGUAACUUAUGAAUAAGGACCGGCUAACUACGUGCCAGCAGCCGCAGUAA
rnacentral:rRNA from 1 species